rnacentral:lncRNA from 1 species
CAGAAAUCUGUUUCAUACUACAUGGAUCCAGAGGUUUUAGCUGUUUUCUACACAGUAAGACUUACAGGAUGACCAGAAACAAUGCAGGAAACUGACUGUCAUCUACAAAUACUUACUGAGCAUUCCAGUUCCUUUUGCCAGGCAUGAAUGGCUAGAGUAACACCUGUAACAAAAUAUAGUGGCUUGCUGUACCUUCAGUAAAUGCCAGGAGAGUGUCUGUGUCUCAGCCACACCAGCACCACCACAUCCAUGCCCUCAGGCAAUGCCAGAGGAGAGUGAUCCGGGCUAUGAUGUGUGCUGCAAGAGCAGAACUCUGCAAGGAACUGCAUGGAGCUGCAUAGCUUUCCA